rnacentral:rRNA from 1 species
UUGACGGACUGAAGGCUCUUUCUCGAUUCCGUGGAAAGUGGUGCAUGGUCCGUUUUGGUUGGUGGAUCGAUCCGUCUGGUUAAUUCCGUUAACGAACGAGACCUCGGCACUCCGAAUAGCGCGGCGGACGUCGCGGCCUCCGGCCGUCUUCCGCACGAGCUUCUUAGAGGGACCGUCCCCCGCCGGGGAAGGAGGUGCGAGGCAACGACAGGUCUGUGAUGCCCUUAGAUGUUCUGGGCCGCACGCGCAUUACACUGACGCGUCCAACGGGUGACUCCCGACCCGAAGGGGCCGGGGAAUCCGCAAGGCGCGUCGUGAUGGGGAUUGAACGUUGCAAUUGUUGUUCACGAACGAGGAAUUCCUAGUAGGCGCGGGUCAUCAACCCGCGCCGAUUACGUCCCCUGCCCUUUGUACACACCGC